rnacentral:tRNA from 1 species
GCGGAUGUAGCCAAGUGAAUCAAGGCGGUGGAUUGUGAAUCCACCAUGCGCGGGUUCAAUUCCCGUCGUUCGCC